rnacentral:misc_RNA from 1 species
GUUUAUGUGGUACCCGUAAGGGCAUAUCCACGUCGGGUCUCGCCGUAAAAAGCGAGACUGUCUGAAAACCCUUGAAUACAAAACUUUGUUGCUUUGGCGGGCCGCCUCUCGAGGCGUCGGCUCACGCUGACCGUGCCCGCCAGAGGCCCGAAACUCUACUGUCUUUGACGUCUGAGUACUAUGUAAUAGUUA